UUUUUUUUUUUUUUUUUUUUUUUUUUCUUUAAUGGCAUGUGGAAGUUACUGGGCCAGGAAUUGAAUCCAAACUGCAGCUGCAGCCUACAUGACAAUUGCGACAACACUGGAUCCUUUAACCCACUGCAUGGAGCCAGGGAUCAAACCUAUGCCUCCUCAGCAAUCCAAGCCACUGCAGUCAAAUCUUAACCCACUGCACCACAUGGGAAAUCCAAUAUCUGAGUGUCUUUAUAUAUAAACUUAUUUAAGUAAAUAAAGUGAGUUAUUUUAAAGCCUGAUGCUAAGCCAAUCCUGAACCAGGUGGCUGGGACACUACCUGUCUAGUCACAGUAGAGCCCAGGUCUAAAGUAAGCAAAAGGAAGCUGACUGGAAAAAAGCAGAAAGGUAAAGUCUUGUCAAAACGCAAGAAGCCUCGUGGCAGGGUAAACAUUUUGGAAAAUAUUUUGUAGGUCUGUUUUCCAAGUGUCUGCAAAGCCAAAUUCCUUGGAAAUAUGUUCUUUGUGCAUGAGUGUGGCAUCUCUCUCAUUUUCCAGAGUGCAUGAAAUAUGCCAAUCUUCAAUUCUGUUAUUCAAAGUUAAAGGCAAAGUUGAAAAAAGCAAAUACAACUUCAUGCUGCAUGCAAAAUAUAAAAGUGCAACCAUAAAUACCGUUUUAAUUUUUAAAAACUUUAUAUCAUUUGGGGAGUUCCCCUAGAAGCUCAGUGGAAAGGAAUCUGACUAGCAUCCAUGAGGAUGUAGGUUCAAUCGCUGGCCUCACUCAAUAAGUUAAGGAUCUGGCAUUGUCAUGAGUGUGGUGUAGGUCACAGAUGCAGCUCAGAUCUGGUGUUGCUGUGGCCGUGGCGUAGGCCAGCAGCUACAGCUUAAAUUUGACCCCUAGCCUGGGAACCUCCAUAUGCCCCAGGUACAGCCCUAAAAAAACAAAACAAAACAAAAUUUGUAUCAUUUAAGAUCUGAUCAUAAAACAGAGGAUACAUAAAACACUCACCUGGGGUAAUCGGUAAAACUAUUUACAGAGGUGUGGGGAAACCAAGGGUUAAUGCAAUGUAUGGGGCUAAGGGAGGAAGAACCCACUGAGAAAGUCCACAUAGGAGAACCUACCAGGCACCAAGCUGAGUAUAAAGGGAUAAAUGGAAGAUAACCAGCACAGAAACAAGGCUAUUUUCAAAUAUUUUCAAACAUUUGCUGGGUAUUUAUUUACCACUGUGUAAUCACUAGCUUUAGGCUGGGCUGUGGACUACAGAGAUUAAGAGGGCAGAUAGCUUGGACUCAGCUUGCCACUCAUCAGCUAUGUGAGUUUCUUAUGUCACUGAACUUAGUUUAUUUGGUAAAAUGAGGGACAAAAGCAGUAUUCAUCCUAACACUGGUGUGAGAAGCCAAAGAGUAAAUGUAUUUAUGUUGAUGCUAGAAAGAUAUUACCAGAAUUCAGGUUCUUGUUCAUGCAGCCAAAGAAUGAACUCUGGAACACACAGGCAGCAAGCAAGCAAAAUCUUUAUUAUAAGAAAACAAAUAGCUCCCAGGACAGCUGGGAAGGGGUAGAAGAGCCCCCCUCUCUAUUGUCUUAUAGGGGUUUUUAUCCCUUAAAGAUGGGGGUUACCAAUGUGGGGUACAGAAAGAUGUGGGUUUUUUUCCUCAUUGGCUUUGCCCAAUUACCUAUAUCAGUCCUUGUCCAAUAGGGGUCUUGGAGUGGAAAUGUCCCGUAAGUCUCAUGGUUUCUUUGCCCUUCUCUUCCCGUAAACUGAGUCACAGGGGGUUAGAGAUUAAUGUCCAUCCGGGCAAAGGUACACUCCCUGUAGUAAACAAGGCCUGUGGGGAUGUUACUCUCUGGAAUCUUUAAGCCACAAAUGUUAAUCAAUACAUAUCAAAGAAGGCAUCAAAGCCCAUGCUCCUACAAUGACCACAUGAGUUAUUAUUCUGUCUCAAUGUUAGCCACGAAAAUGUUCAAGAGAAACCUAUGGGAAAAAAGCUUAAAAUUGUGGAAAUUCUAAAUUUAAACUGAAUUAAAUUAGUAUUUCAUAUGACUUGGUCAAAAAUAUUCUAUGUAAUUGACAGAACAUCUGCAAGGCCUCCAAAGCUGUAAAAUGAUCUAGACUAGCAGAGGUGGGUAGGGGUGAUGGUUGUGAUCAGUAAUGGUGGUAAAACCGAGCAGAAUCCUAUGGGGCUUUCCCAAGUACAAAGUACUAAGUAGAAGUACAAACGCCUUCCCAAGUACUAUGUCCCCUGGCUCUUGUUUAGGGAAAUGCUGAAGUCUUCCAGGCUUCCUAGAGACACAAAAGAGGAGGCUCAAGCAGUUAAUUAUUGGGAUGAUAGAGUCCUACACUCAGCGUCUGAUAAAGAAUGAGAUUAACACUAUUGCUCAUAUGAUCUAUAUCUCUGUGUGCAUUAGAAUAAUUGUAGCUUGUUCUGCUCAUAUAUGUUAGCAGGCAACUAAAAUUGUCAGCAAAGAGAUGAUACAGAUCCAUGUUGACAUCUUCCAUUCUAAGAAUAAAAUGCCCCCUAGGUCAGCAUGAAGUUACAGAAGACAGACCUUUGCCCCAGAUGCAUAAAACGGGAAUGAUGUCUGAUGGGAUUUGUCAGCAGCUCAUUUGCCCCUUUUCCGCUUGUUCAUUUCUGUUUUCCUCGGACCUCAAUCAUAAAGAUGAAAUCAUUAGGCAACAUUUAACCUAAGUCCUGAUUUUUGCUUUACUGAUGGUACACAAUGCCUUGCUUAACCUGGUGGUUCCUUUUCUGGAUGAGAAAGAGUAGGAAUGAACAAUUAAGUAGUUAAAGAGUGACUGACUUUCUAACCCUAGCUUCCCCUGGGUGAAUUUGCAGGUAGACCAGGCAGGCAAGAAAAGGCAGCAGGUCUGCACAUAUUGGAAAAAUAAGAAAGAAUCUGAACUCCUACCUUAAUGAUUAAUUAACAUUGUUUCUCUUAUUUCUCUUUUAAAAUUGUCAGAGCUGAGCAGAAUCUUGGGAGUUGGUCUCCAGACAUGAGUCCACCUUUGCCCCUGAUGGCUAGCUUUUCUGAAUAAAUCACCUUUCCUUUUUGCUGACACUUCCCCCUUAAUUAUUGGCUUUUGAGCGGCAAGCAGCUGAAUCUAAGUUUGGUAACAGUAGCAAGGAUUAGACAGUAAACACCUCCUGGAGAAGGCAGUAUUUAAAAUGAGACCAAUCUGAAGCCUAAGAGAAGUCAGCCAAGGAAAGAGGUGGGUGAAAAGAACUCUCAGCAGAGGGCACCCAAUGUGCCAAGGCCUGAGGAAGAGGAAACAAUCACAGGUUCAAUGAGCCAUGUAAUCAAGAUAUGAAAGAGUAAAGGGGGACUUGGGAUAGAACUCGCAGCCAUGUUUAGAGUUGGAAUCCCAUUUUUGGUGAGGGCAGUGAGUAGCCCUUGAAGGAUUUUAAACUAGGAAGAGACAUGAUCCCAUCCUCACCCUGUCAAUAAUUACAAAAACAAUGCUACAGGGAAUGAGGAGCCAUUGAAGAAUUUGGAGUCAAGGAUUGGAAAAGAAAAAAUAGUGUUUCGAACUUGCUAUUUAUCAUUUUAGUGAAUGCCUAAAACUAGAACUGUUAUAAAAAUGGUUUAUAAAAUGUCAUAACAUCAUUUUUCCUUGGGUUACCUGUACACAUAAGUGUUCAUUCAAUAUCUCAUUCAUUUAUUAAGAUAUCUACUGAGCACCUAAUAUAUACUGUGGGAACUGUGCUUAGAUAGGGACAGGAGAAGAAAACUCACAAAUAAGCAGUAUAAAAAGCACUAAGAUUUGAAAGACAAAGGACAUUUCUGAGUAGUGGGUAAAAUUCCAAAGGUGGGGACAAGUAGAGUAUAUGUGAUAAAAGAUAUUCCACAACGGUUAUUAGAACAUAUAACACAUGAAACACUCAUUCAAUAAAAAUCUAGUAAGCACCUACUAUGUGAGCAUUGUGCAGCCAGUGGUGAUAGAGUGAUAAAUGAGAAAACACUUAAAUUAUAACAAGAGUAACUUUUAUCAUUGCAGACAACACUAGGUUGAUUAUCAAGAGUGCAUGAGGAAGUAAAAUAGAAAAGUAAAGAGCAGCGCCUUAAUUUAAGAAGGCUUGGAGUGGCAAUAAAAUAUUUUUAAUUAAAACUUCUCUACUGAGAAUAGACAGUCUUUGAAAGCUUGUGUAAACUGUAAAUGAGUUACAUGCAAAUAUCCUAGUGAUAUUAGAGCUUUUAAAAUGACAUUAUAACUUUUGUAAUGUCAAAUAACUUUGAAUGUCAAGUGCUACCCC
rnacentral:lncRNA from 1 species